rnacentral:misc_RNA from 1 species
CAAUUUGGAUCGGUUUGUUUGCGCGGAAAACUUUUCUGUUUUUAGGAAAAAUGCGAUGUCCUUGUUCCUGUGGGCCCCUAGCGGUCCAUUUCGGCCAAAAAAAUGACCAGGUAUCCACGUGGAAUAUGCGCCAAGAACCAAGUCAAUCCAGCCAACUCCCAGUCGCUGCUGCGGUCGCCCGUAAUGGACACUGCCUUGGGCAGUCUGGUGAUGGAAAUCGGCUACACGUUAACGGCUUCGCUGGAGGACUGCAAGAACCACCUGCCGAAGAUUGGCGACAGGAAGAACACGGCGCAGGAUGUGGCCAAGAUUAUUUCGUCGAUGUGUUUGACGCACGCGUCACUUUCGGAGAGUCCUGUGGUACACGCUCUCGGCACAGCUGCUGCACAAAGCGCGCGUACGUCGAGUCUUCUUAAUCCAGAACUUCCGGCCAAACUGAGCCUGAGCGAGGUGGAAACCAUCGGCAAGAACCCCACGGACAGCGGGGAGUACACUUUAAACGAACCCCAAAUACACUGAAAAGCGACAUGAUCGCCGUCAAACUCAGCUCCAAGACCGUGCUCGAGGAGAUCACUCCGUCCGUUAUCGAACCUUCGUUCGGCGUUGGCCGCAUCAUGUACUCGCUCCUUGGGAACAGCUUCCGAAAGCGCUAAGGCGAGGAACAGCGCAGCUAAUUCUCGCUGACCCCGAUCGUGCCCCCCCUCAAGUGCUUUCGUACUGCCGCUGAGCAACAACACCGACUUCUCCCCAUUCAGGAAGAAGAUCUCUUCGGCCCAGCGUGAACAUCUCGCACAAGGUGAACGACUCGAGUGGCUCGAUCAGUGGACAGACGAGCUGGUUGGGAGUAAUCUACGACCGCCGAUGUUUCCGGCAAGCGGGACGGCGUGGACCAGAGCGAAAGUACGGUGGAUGAAAGCUAUCCGAGCGGAUAAUGGUCAAGGCAGGAAAAUUUCAUCUCUAGUGGAAGUCACCUUGCUUGACGGAUUCCGGCGAUUUGGUCCGCAGUUCAGCACCGUCGACGCGGCCAACAGACUUCAGCGGUGCGAUUCCUCAGAGGUACUGUCUGGAACAUUAGUGUAAUAUAUUGUGAAACA